GACGAACGCUGGCGGCGCGCCUAACACAUGCAAGUCGAACGAGCGAGAGAGAGCUUGCUUUCUUGAGCGAGUGGCGAACGGGUGAGUAACGCGUGAGGAACCUGCCUCAAAGAGGGGGACAACAGUUGGAAACGACUGCUAAUACCGCAUAAGCCCACGGUGCCGCAUGGCACAGAGGGAAAAGGAGCAAUCCGCUUUGAGAUGGCCUCGCGUCCGAUUAGCUAGUUGGUGAGGUAACGGCCCACCAAGGCGACGAUCGGUAGCCGGACUGAGAGGUUGAACCGGCACAAUUGGGCCUGGGACCCGGCCAGACUCCUACGGGAGGCAGCAGUGGGGAAUAUUGCACAAUGGGGGAAACCCUGAUGCAGCGACGCCGCGUGGAGGAAGAAGGUCUUCGGAUUGUAAACUCCUGUUGUUGGGGAAGAUAAUGACGGUACCCAACAAGGAAGUGACGGCUAACUACGUG
rnacentral:rRNA from 1 species